UACGUAGGGAGCAAGCGUUGUCCGGAAUUACUGGGCGUAAAGGGUGCGUAGGCGGCCUGGUAAGUCAGAUGUGAAAUACCCGUGCUUAACAUGGGGGGUGCAUCUGAUACUGUCAGGCUUGAGUGCAGGAGAGGAAAGCGGAAUUCCUAGUGUAGCGGUGAAAUGCAUAGAUAUUAGGAGGAACACCAGUGGCGAAGGCGGCUUUCUGGACUGUAACUGACGCUGAGGCACGAAAGCGUGGGGAGCAAACA
rnacentral:rRNA from 1 species